GUUGAAAUGGUGGAGUCCAACUUGCCUGGACCAGCUUAAUGGUUCUGCUCCUGGUAACGUUUUUAUCCAUGGAUGACUUGCUUGGGUAUGGAGAGUCGGCUUGACUACACUGUGUGGAGCAAGUUUUAAAGAAGCAAAGGACUCAGAAUUCAUGAUUGAAGAAAUGCAGGUUAGUUUAAACUUUGAAGGAAAUUUUUAAGGUGGCAAAAGGUUUUGGUGGCAUAUACACCUUAAUCUGUAGAUGGGAGUGAUUAGCUGUUUAAAAGUUAAAAUGUGACUGAGAAGGAAAUUGAGUAGGGCAAAUUUUAAAUGGGUAUUAUUUUUCAUCUUCAAACAGGCAGACCUGUUAUCCUAAACUAGGUGAGUCAGCUUUUGGUACAUGUGAUGAUUUUCAGUGUAACCAAUGAUGUAAUGAUUCUGCCAAAUGAAAUAUAAUGAUAUCACUGUAAAACCGUUCCAUUUUGAUUCUGAGGUUACUCUACUAACAAGCAUCACACAUUUGUAUUUUGCCCUGAUUAAUAUGUUGGCUUCGCUUUCAGGGUUUUUAAUGACCACAACAAGCAAGCAUGCAGCUUACUGCUUGAAAGGGUCUUGCCUCACCCAAGCUAGAGUGCAGUGGCCUUUGAAGCUUACUACAGCCUCAAACUUCUGGGCUCAAGUGAUCCUCAGCCUCCCAGUGGUCUUUGUAGACUGCCUGAUGGAGUCUCAUGGCACAAGAAGAUUAAAACAGUGUCUCCAAUUUUAAUAAAUUUUUGCAAU
rnacentral:lncRNA from 1 species